UACAGAGGUCUCAAGCGUUGUUCGGAUUCAUUGGGCGUAAAGGGUGCGUAGGCGGUCGCGGUAAGUCGGGUGUGAAAUCUCGGGAGCUUAACUCCGAAACUGCAUUCGAUACUGCCGUGCUUGAGGACUGGAGAGGAGACUGGAAUUUACGGUGUAGCGGUGAAAUGCGUAGAUAUCGUAAGGAAGACCAGUGGCGAAGGCGGGUCUCUGGACAGUUCCUGACGCUGAGGCACGAAGGCCAGGGGAGCAAACGGG
rnacentral:rRNA from 1 species